AGCGCGGUGCAAGUAACGGUAACUGGACAGCCUCAUAAGCUGAUCGAUGCGGGUUCGAUUCCUGUCUGCGCAAC
rnacentral:tRNA from 1 species